GAGCGCAACAAGCACAAAAAAAAACAGAGAGAAAACAAACUCUGCUUCAGAAAAAAUGUGAAAGAAAACAAAAAUGUAUGACAACAACAACAACAGCAAAAAAAUGGAAAAUGUCUCCGCUUGAAAUGAAAUAAAUAACUUGGCACUCAUCUGAGUGAAUGCGCUACCCCCGCAAAGAAAAGUUGUGGACUAAGCAACUGUAGGUCAUACAAUGGUCGACCAUAGAAAAUCCAGUUGUCGUUUCAACAUCUCAACGUUAGUUUCACCAUGCCGAGAAUUUAAUCUAUAAACUGACAAACAAAGCACGCCAGACAACAACAAUUAUGUGCCGGGGCUGACAGGCACCGGAGCUCUGAAUUCUGUCCUGGAAGCGGAAAUGUGUAGCAUUUCUUAUGAACUCGCUUAGGGAGCAGACAUAAUGCAUAAGUUAUUAAGGAAGCGGCGACAAUGAAGUUUGCAACAAGCUUAAGAAACAUUUUCAACCAAAAAAAUGUAUGCAAAAAUACUUUGACGCUCUGCCAAGAGCAAUCUGUCAGGCUUUGAACGCCUACACCCAAGCAACUAACUCUUGCACUAAGAUUUGAAAACGGAUUUGCACAAGGCUCGUGGCUGGACUUAAAGGCCCGUUGGUGGUCGGGUUUCACUUAUUUUGUAUUAUUUUAAUCAACAUUAAGAUGGCAAUUUAAACAAAUUGAGCAUGUGAUAUAAAUAAAAUACU